AUAAUAAUUAGUCUUUUAAUUGAAGGCUGGUAUGAAGGAUUGAACGAGAUAAAUACUGUCUCAUAAAAAUUAAAGUUUAAUUUAAUUUUUAAGUAAAAAAGCUUAAAUAUUAUUAUAGGACGAGAAGACCCCAUAGAGUUUUAUAUUUUAUUUUUAUUUUUUAUAAAAUUGAAUUAAAUUUGAAUUAAAUAUUUUAUUGGGGCGAUAGAAAAAUUUAAUAAACUUUUUUAUUUAAUUAAACAAAGAUUAUUGAAAUUUUGAUCCUAAAUUUUAGAUUAUUAGAUUAAGUUACCUUGGGGAUAACAGCGUUAUUUUUUUUAUAAGUUCAUAUUAAUAGAAAAGAUUGC
rnacentral:rRNA from 1 species